rnacentral:rRNA from 1 species
UACGUAGGGACCGAGCGUUGUCCGGAUUUAUUGGGCGUAAAGAGCGUGUAGGCGGUUUGGUAGGUCCGUUGUGAAAACUCGAGGCUCAACCUCGAGACGCCGGCGGAAACCAUCAGGCUAGAGUCCGGAAGAGGAGAGUGGAAUUCCUGGUGUAGCGGUGAAAUGCGCAGAUAUCGGGAGGAACACCGGUGGCGAAGGCGGUUCUCUGGGCCUUACCUGACGCUGAGGAGCGAAAGCAUGGGGAGCGAACAGG